CCGGCCUCGGGGUGCUCGGCGGGGCGCCGGCGGCGAGGGGAGCCGAGCAGGAGCCGUCUCGGUCCCGGUGCGGCCGCGGGCAGCGCGGAGCUUGCCCCGCCGCGCCCUGCCCCGCCGUGUGUCCCUGCUGCGGGCGGGCGGCGCGGCGUGCCCGGGGACUGCGGCGCGGGCUCUCCGGUCCUGAAAGACCUUUCCUCCUUGUAUGUGAGGAAGAAAAUUGAAGUCCUCCUUCAGUGAGCUGGAGUUUCCAUUUUUUUACGUUCCUUCUUCAUUCUCUAGCUGUGACUGGAAAACCAUAUCAACCUGUUGCAAGAUCAGAGAACACACAUAUUACACACCCUGGAGCUGAGGCACAGAAGCUGAAAGACUCAUUCAGUGCUGCAUAAGAAAUGUUUGACUGCAGAUCAAGAUCCAUUGUUGAGGAGACAGUCUGGUGUGGAGAUUGCCUCUUCUUACUCAGCUGACCCAGCUCCUGGUCACCAAGCUGCAGAGAGAUUCAGUGGUGUUUCUGUGGUUAAACAAGUAGCCUGCAAAGAAGAAGGCUCGUAUGUCUUAUCUUGCAUGAAGGAGCACACCCUUAGGACAAAAUUGAGUUCCCAGCUUCUGUCAAAAUUUGUGUCUUUGCUUGAGUUUGAGUGA
rnacentral:lncRNA from 1 species